GAAUCAUGUAUAAUCAAAAAAAAGCUUCUAACUUAUUUUUUAGCAGUGAAAUUCUGUUUAUGAUUCU
rnacentral:tRNA from 1 species